GAAUAUCAUACUGAAAUGGGAGAAAUCUCCAGCAUUGACCUGGUCAGCCUGGACAUGGGUUCCUUUGGCACGACCAAUAAUUUUGGCGUCCGGUGCAGGUGCAUCAAGUAGAGUAUAAUCAAAAGCAACCGUCCUACCAAACUCUAUAGGAGGAGUAGACUUAAACACAACUUCUUGGUUGUGGGUUGGUCCGGACACCACCUGGUGCAAAUACAUCUGCAUUUUUAUCUCACUUUCACAACGAGUGGGACAUGCAAAAAAGGGAUGGGCCAUGGAAAGCAUCAGAAUGGAGAAAAAGAGGGAGGCUAGGGCAAGUCUAGGGUUAGCCAUUGCUAGGAUUGUUGGCUCCCAAAGAGAAGACCACUAUACUUGAAUCUGUGUUUCUCUUUUUUUUGAGAUUAACAGUACUUCAUUGAUUACUGAACAUCAUAGCCAAGUUCGUCCCUGAUACAAUCUGGAACCGCACCAAGAUAAAAAAGAUUAACAGAGUGCUCACAACAACGAGCUAGUUUGUGUGCUGCUACAUUCAUACCACGCCUGACAUGUAAGAAAGAACAUUGAGUAAACCCAGACGCAAGAGACUUGAUGUCCGAGACAACAGUGCCCACUCUUGAUCAAUCUUGAGCCGUAGACUUGAUUUUGUUCACCAUGGAGGGGCAGUCAGAUGCCAAAACAAUUAACGAACAGCCUUCAGAUCGACAAACCUCAAGAGCACAUCGGAUGGCAAGCGCCUCAGCCAACUCCGGUUCGGAGAAGCCUUGAAGCUGCUCAUUGCCAGCAAACAUGCACUCCCCAAGAUGAUUCAUAGCCACAAAGCCCAUGCCCAUCCGUCGGGUAGAAGGGAACAGCGCCGCAUCAACAUUCACAGCCACCACACCAACAGGUGGCGGAGUCCAAAUAACAGUUGAAGAAUAAGACUCACGCCUGGGAUCGGGUUUAGGCUUAGAACAAUGUUGCAACACCAUACAGACAUAGGCACAAACUUUUGAAGCAGUUCUAGCAGGAUGCACUUCGGUGCCAUUAUUACGUACCUUAGUUCUAGCUUCCCAGAUAUGGCAUAGAGUGAUAGCCAAGACAGUAGCUUGAAGCUUCGAAGCAUGAGCCAGGAAAUCGAACAUCCAUUGACGGCCAUUAACCAUGUCUUUUCUACACAGCCUGACACUGAACUCCUCUUUAACCCCUUUCCAAACGGAACGGGCGAAGGGACACAACAGGAAGAGAUGCUCCACACGCUCAGUCCGGUUGCAGAAGAAACAGCCAUCGUCGGCUGGAAUGUGACGCCUCACCAGCUAGAAACCCGUAGGUAAACAAUCAUGCACGAAAAGCCACAAAACAAUCUUCACUUUGUUUGGACAAUUGACUGACCAAAGGGCCUUCCACUCCUUUUCUUGCACCUGAAUGUUGGAAGCCAGACCCUUGCCCUUUCCACUUGUAGAGGAGAAAAAGUUCUCACUUCGAGUAAGAUUAUAGCCAGACUUGACCGAGUAGGUGCCAAGCUUGUCAUGAGGCCACGACAGGAAGUCAUCUCCCCCAAAACGACUUAUGGGAACUUGCAGAAUUUGUUCCGCAAUAGGAUCAGCAAAUAAGCUUCGCACAAGGUCUUCGUCCCAAGUCACCAAUGACUCAGCCAGCAAGAAUUGAACUGAAGUUUCAGCCGGAAUAGGGAGAAUCGUGUUGAAAGUUCUAGGAGGGAAACCUGGAAUCCAGUUGUCUUCCAUAACUUUGAUCCGGGUGCCAUUUCCUACACCCCACCGAGCUCCCUUCUGAAUCAGUUGACGCCCAAAAAGCAAACUGCGCCAAGUGAAGGAGGAUGAUCUUGGCUUGGUAGCAGUCCAAAAAACCCCAUCAGGGAAGUAGCGUCCCUUUAAGACCCUCGAACACAGAUAGUCGGGUUCAGUCAGGAGACGCCAACACUGACGCGCAAGCAUCGCCUGAUUGAAAAGUACCAAGUCGCGGAAGCCCAUUCCAUCGAGAAACUUUGGGGUAGAAAGCCACGUCCAAGAACGCCAAUGCAUUUUUUGACGUCCAUCUUCAACACCCCACUAGUGGUUGGCGAUGUAGGUCUUCAUUUUCUCACAAAUGGAGAUAGGCAGUUGGAAGCAACUCAUCACAUAGUUGGGGAUGGGUUGAGCCACAGAUUUUAGAAAUAUUUCCUUUCCAUCCCGUGACAUCGGCCUAUCAUUGCAGCCAUUGAUCCUCUUCCAAACCCGGCCUGGUAAGAAGCUAAAGGAGUUGGUAGCUGCACGACCAAUCUCAGUGGGCAUACCGAGAUAAGAGUCAUGGAGAAUUUCAUUAUCUACCCCAAGGCACCUCUUUACAGUUCCCUUGACACCAUCAGGGCAGAGCUUCCCGAAGAAGAUCGCAGACUUUAGCAAGUUGAUCCUUUGCCCAGAGGCCUCGCAAUAUUGAUGGAGAGCAGAAUUCAGAGCCUCCACGCUUCUAUUAUCGUUGCAUGCGAAGAAGAUGAUGUCAUCUGCAAAAAGCAAGUGAGAUAUAGGAGGGCCUUGCGUACCAUUUCGAAUCCCUUGUAGCUCGCCAAGGCUCUCCCUCCUUUGCAGUAAUCCAGACAAACCUUUCGUACACAGCAAGAACAGGUAUUGGCUGAUGGGAUCUCCUUGGCGGAGCCCCCUGGACGGCACCACGGCAGAAGUGAUUUCACCAUUCACCUUCACUGCAUAUCUUGUCGAGGUAAUGCAGCACAUCACAGUUUGUAUCCAAGCAGGAGCAAAACCCAACUUCUGAAGACACCCAUGGAGGUAUGCCCAUUCGAUGCGGUCAUACACCUUCAUCAUAUCCACUUUGAGAGCAAAGAAAGGCCUCUUGGAAUGUUGUUUCCGAACAGUGUGCAAACAUUCAUAGGCAACAAGCACGCUGUCCGUGAUCAAGCGGCCUGUGACACUCCAAUUUUUUUUGUGAUAUCUGUUUUCAGCUAGAGUCCUGCUUGGUUUAAAGAAGGUCAUUUAAACCCUUCUUAAAAACCUCUCAUCUGAGUUUUCCCACUAAAAAUCUUUUCUUGGAUUUAUUUUCUUCUAAAAACAAAACCUUUUUGGUUUGGGCUUUUCUUUGGUUUUGAUCCCUCUUGAUUUUACCAUGCCACUUAUGGUAAAAAAUUUCCCAAAAACCCUCCUUCCACUUUGGAUCAACCCAAACAUUCUGUCCCAACUACUAAAAUCCAUUUUUGGAUUUUAUCUCAUUGGUUUCUUAUCCCAAAACAAUUCUGUCACUUAUUUUGAGCCUAGGUAAUUUGCAAAGCAAGUACCUUAAUGCCUUUGAGUUUUGAUCUCAAACCAACUCCUCUGGAUAGUCCUUAGCACCCACAACCUAGAACCAUCAAGAUCCACUCUUCUUCUUUUCAAAAAUUUCAAAAUUCACCCUCUGCAAGUUUGGACCAGAUUUGUAAAAUUUGGUGAAAUUCAUACCUCCACUCCUCCAAAAAUUCCACCAAAAUUCGGGCAACCCCUAGCUGCAAUGAGAGACCACUCCACCAAAAACCAGCUCAAGGAAAAAUCCCCACAUGCCAAAAUCAUUCUGUCGAACACCUGGCAUACAUUGUUACUGUUCAUCUUCAGUGAAAUUCAGAGUUCAGUGUCGUUUCUUCGUCAGAGAUUCAGUCACAUGUCGACAGUGCGCUUGGCGCGUUGCUCACAGCCCCUCCUUCCUGUCCGGAGCACCACACGCACGCUUGGCUCGUUCUUGGCGUCGGUGGCGCCCUGGCCCACCAAACCACAAUUUCACUCAGGGGCAGACAAGUCAACAGGACAGUGAAACAGCAUCUACCCAAGUAUGUUAUCUAUAUGAACAGGGUCAGCAACAACACCAGGAAAUGAUGAACCAAUUCAUCAAUAUGGGAAAUAACUGUGGUCAGUAUCAGCAGCAAUCCAAGUUAUCUGAGUUACAGAAAACGCGUCCUCAAACAUUUUCUCAUACUGACAAGCCUCUUGAGGCCGAAGACUGGCUUCGAGACAUGGAGAGAAAAUUAAUUAUUGCACAGUGUUCAGACCGUGAAAAAGUAUAGUAUGCACCACAUUACCUCACCGGAGCAACUGCAUCAUGGUGGAAAAACGUCCUGCACAUGCACCCCAACGAAAACGAAAUAACCUGGGAGGAUUUCAAGGAAGGUUUUCGUGGGGCACACAUUCCUAAGAGUGUUAUGAAAAUCAAGAAGAGAGAAUUUGAUGACCUCAAGCAAAGGACCAUGACAGUGUCAGAAUACAACAGCCAAUUCACUCUGCUGUCUCGCUACGCCAAUGAAGAGCGUAUGACCGAGAGCAAGAAGAUGGAAAAAUUCUUGGAAGGCCUGGCACCCCGCGCUUAAAUGCCAGCUAGUUGUGCAUACCUUCCCAGAUUUUAAAACACUGGUGGAUAAGGCCAUUACUCUGGAAAAUGAGCGAGGCAGCUUAGAAGAUUUCCGCAAACGCAAAAGGGACUAGUCUAGUCUGCUCGCAACCACAGAAGCAAGACUGAAAUUCAGAAGGGUAGUGCACACAAAACCCCGGCGAAUAAUUCACGCCCAAUCAAGAAUUUCCAUGCAAGAGACAAGGAGUUCACAUAUCGCCCAGGCGUUACUUGUUACGCUUGUGGAGAAGAAGGGCACUAUGCCAAGCAGUGCCCCAAGCAAAGGAACUCAACUCCAAAGCCUAGCAAUGGUGGCAAUAAUUCAGCGCCAAAAGGAAACAAUUUCAACCCCAAUAACAACCACCGGAAGGGUCACCUGAACCACGUGACCAAAGAGGAAGCACAGAACGCCCCAGAUAUCGUACUCGGUACGUACCCUGUCAACACAAUACCUGCCAUGGUUUUGUUUGAUUCUGGAGCUUCUCACUCAUUCAUUUCGAAGAGUUUUGCUUUGCAAAAUAAUUUUUUGAUGCUUCCUUGGAAAAAUCAAUGAUCAUCAAGUCCCUUGGGAUUAAGCAAGUGACCCAGAGUUAUUGUCAAGGUGUGGUUAUUGAAUUUGAAGGAUUGAAGUUUUAUGCCAACCUUAUUGUAUUGGAAAGCAAAGGACUGGAUGUCAUCCUAGGGAUGGAUUGGUUAACCACCAACAAAGGUUUUAUUGACUUCUUCAACCGGACCGUGAUCCUCACACACCAUCACGGGAAGACAAUAAAAGUUUCAGCUAAAGAGAGACAAAUACCUCGACAACCGAGAUUAAACAAGGUGGAUGUUUCUGAGCUGAACAAGGUUCCAGUAGUGUGUGAAUUUCCAGACGUAUUUCCAGGAGAACUACCAGGCAUGCCACCGGACCGAGAGAUAGAAUUCAGCAUUGAGCUAGCACCCGAAACCGCUCCCAUUUACAAGAAACCAUACAGAAUGGCACCAUCCGAAUUGGUAGAAUUGAAGAAGCAAAUAAAAGAAUUAUUGGAGAAAGGAUACAUACGAGCCAGUUCCUCACCUUGGGGUUCUCCAAUUUUAUUUGCCAAGAAAAAGGAUGGAACGCUGAGAUUGUGUAUUGACUAUCGAGCUCUUAACAUGGUCACAAUCAAGAACAAAUAACCAAUGCCCCGAAUAAAUGAUUUAUUUGAUCUGCUCGCACAGGCCAAAGUCUUCUCAAAAAUUGACUUGAGAUCAGGAUACCACCAAUUAAAAGUGCGAACAGAAGAUAUUCCCAAGACAGCCUUCACUUCAAGAUAUGGACUGUACGAGUUCACAGUAAUGCCAUUUGGGCUAACCAAUGCCCCCGCAUAUUUUGUUCACCUCAUGAACAAAGUAUUUAUGAAGUAUAUGGACAAGUUUGUUGUGGUAUUCAUCGAUGAUAUCCUGAUAUACUCCAAAACACCAGAAGAGCACGCCGAGCAUCUCAGGAUUGUACUAGGAGAACUCAGGAAACAUCAACUGUACGCCAAAUUCAGCAAAUGUGAGUUUUGGGUAAGACAGGUGGGUUUUCUGGGCCACGUGCUAACCCAAGAAGGUAUUGCAGUAGACCCGGAAAAAGUCAAGGCCGUACUUGGCUGGAAACCACCAGCUAGCGUAACAGAUGUACGGAGUUUCUUGGGAAUGGCAGGCUAUUAUCAGAGAUUUAUUGAAGGAUUCUCCACCAUAGCAAAGCCCAUGACGCAGUUGCUCAAGAAAGGCAAGAAGUUUGAAUGGACGGAAGCAUGUGAGAAAAGCUUCCAAGAGCUAAAAAGCAAAUUGACAACGACACCAGUAUUAAUUGUGCCAGACAUACACAAAAAUUUUGAGGUAUAUUGUGACGCAUCCCGGAAAGGCCUCGGAUGCGUAUUGAUGCAAGAAGGCAACGUAGUCGCGUAUGUCUCCAGACAACUUCGCAAGCAUGAGGAUAAUUAUCCCACUCAUGACUUAGAAUUGGCAGCCGUCAUCCAUGCACUCAAGGAAUGGAGACACUUUCUACUUGGAAAUCGUUGUGAAAUAUACACAGACCAUAAGAGUCUUAAUUAUAUUUUCACACAGCCGGAACUUAAUUUACGGCAACGAUGCUGGUUGGAGUUGGUAAAGGAUUAUGAUGUUGGAAUCCACUAUCAUCCCAGAAAAGCAAAUGUUGUGGCAGAUGCCCUUAGUAGGAAUCCCAGCACAGACAACGACAAUAUACCAAAUUUGAGGCCAGAAUUUCAACAGGAAUUUGCCAAACUCAAUUUAAUAAUGGUCACCGAAGGCAGUGUGUCGAACUUGGAAAUACAGCCUACCCUGAUGGAAAAGAUUAAGGAGGCUCAGCAUGGACACCCCAGCAUUGAUGGCAUAAAAAGGAAAGUGAGUUCGGGCAAGGCCUCAGAAUUCAACGUAGAUGAGCAAGGAAUAUUGUGGUACGGAGAGAGACUUUGCGUACCAAAUAUCAAGGAUCUCAAACAGCAGAUUCUGGCUGAAAGCCACACCGCUCCGUAUUCAAUCCAUCCUGGAGGAACAAAAAUGUACAAAGACCUUCAGGAAAUUUUUUGGUGGCACGGUAUGAAGAGAGACAUAGCCACGUUCAUUGCAUACUGUGACUCUUGUCAACGCAUCAAGGCCGAGCACCAGAAACCAGCCGGGCUGUUACAGCCAAACAAGAUACCCGAGUGGAAGUGGGACGAGAUUGGAAUGGAUUUCAUUAUUGGACUACCACGGUCACGACACGGAAACAAUGCCAUAUGGGUCAUCACCGACAGAUUAACUAAGGUAGCACAUUUUAUCCCAGUGAAGACAACUCACACCACUCAGAGACUGGCCAGACUUUAUCUUGCCCGUAUCGUCUGCCUGCAUGUAGUCCCGAAGACUAUCAUAUCCGACAGAGGCACAUAGUUCAUCUCUAGAUCUUGGGAUCACCUACAACAGGCACUGGGAACCCAUCUAGCAUUCAGUACUGCAUACCACCCCCAGACUGAUGGUCAAACUGAACGCGUAAAUCAGAUUCUAGAAGACAUGCUGAGAGCCUGUGUCCUCACCUACGGAACCAGUUGGGAAGAAAGUUUGCCAUAUGCAGAGUUCGCAUACAACAGUUAUCAAGCCAGCUUGCAAAUGGCACCCUUUGAAGCUCUAUAUGGGAGAAGAUGUCGUACCCCGCUUAACUGGUCAAAAAUCAGGGACAGCCACAUCUUUGGUCCAGAUAUGCUCAAGGAGGCCGAGGAGAAAGUUAAGACGAUUAGAGAUCGACUUAAGACAGCUCAAAGUCGGCAAAAGAGUUAUUACGAUCGAAAGCAUCGGGAAAUCAGUUUUAAACCCGGAGAAUUUGUAUACCUAAGAGUUUCACCUAUGAGGGGUCUGCAACGAUCCAGGGUUAAGGGAAAGCUAGCACCAAGAUUCAUCGGACCAUUCCGUAUAGUGGCCCGAAGAGGCACGGUAGCCUAUCAGCUAGACCUACCUGGGGAUUUAUCCGAUAUCCACAAUGUGUUCCACAUCUCGCAGUUGAGAAACUACGUGAGCAACCCAGAGAAGCAAAUAUCACAUGAAAAUAUUGACGUGCAACCAGACCUCACCUACCGGGAGCACCCAAUAAAAAUAUUAGAAGAGUCUGAGAGGAGGACCCGACAGAAAACCAUCAAGUUUUUCAGAGUUCAGUGGAGCAAUCACACCGAGAAUGAAGCAACUUGGGAGAGAGAGGAUUUUCUUUGGACAGAGCACCCACACCUGUUUAAGGAUCAGCUGAAAUCUCGGGGACGAGAUUUUUCCUAAGGGGGUAGGUGCUGUGACACUCCAAUUUUUUUUUGUGAUUUCUGUUUUCAGCUAGAGUCCUGCUUGGUUUAAAGAAGGUCAUUUAAACCCUUCUUAAAAACCUCUCAUCUGAGUUUUUCCUCUAAAAAUCUUUUCUUGGAUUUAUUUUCUUCUAAAAACAAAACCUUUUUGGUUUUGGGCUUUUCUUUGGUUUUGAUCCCUCUUGAUUUUACCAUGCCUCUUAUGGUAAAAUUUUUCCCAAAAACCCUCCUUCCACUUUGGAUCAACCCAAACAUUCUGUCCCAACUAAUAAUCCAUUUUUGGAUUUUAUCUCAUUGGUUUCUUAUCCCAAAACAAUUCUGUCACUUAUUUUGAGCCUAGGUAAUUUGCAAAGCAAGUACCUUAAUGCCUUUGAGUUUUGGUCUCAAAUCAACUCCUAUGGAUAGUCCUUAGAACCCACAACCUAGAACCAUCAAGAUCCACUCUUCUUCUUUUCAAGAUUUUCAAAAUUUACCCUCUGCAAGUUUGGACCAGAUUUGUAAAAUUUGGUGAAAUUCAUACCUCCACUCCUGCAAAAAUUCCACCAAAAUUCAGGCAACCCCUAGCUGCAAUGAGAGACCACUCCACCAAAAACCAGCUCAAGGAAAAAUCCCCACAUGCCAAAAUCAUUAUGUCGAACACCUAGCAUACACUGUUACUAUUCAUCUUCAGUGAAAUUCAGAGUUCAGUGUCGUUUCUUCGUCAGAGAUUCAGUCACAUGUCGACAGUGCACUUGGCGCGUUGCUCACAGCCCCUCCUUCCUGUCCGGAGCACCACACACACGCUUGGCUCGUUCUUGGCAUCGGUGGCGCCCUGGCCCGCCUGCGCCAGCGUGUUUUGCGGCGGCAGAAACCCCGUGGCGGCCAACAGGGGGACACCCUGCGGCAUAACGCCAUUCGGCACCGCCCAAACCUCCUGAGAGCUCCGCGUGGCCAUCUCCUUGCCAGCGCACGCAUGCAGCACCGUCGCCGUGGCCUCGCACGCGCAGAGCACGCUCUCUGCCGCCGAUGUGCCGUACGGCCAUUCCGUCGGGGACAGGCCGUAGCCACCCCUGCUGUGCUAAGUUAGACGCUGGAAUGGCACCAGUGCUUCGUCUAGAUGAUGCUCAAGCCUCUAAUCCACUCGUCCAGCCACAGCGCAGCCGUAAUCGCUCGCCGGACUUAUCCGUUCACGGCAACCGCCUCGGGCCGGCUAUAAAUAGCGCCUCCGAGCUCGCUCUCGCCCCCGCACAACUCCACCACCUCACCAGACCCCGCUUAGACUCUGGAAGAGCCUUGAAGGGCCCUUCUUCCUCCACUCCGGCCACCUCCGUCCGCCUCGGGCUCCGGCAACGUUCUCUUCGGUGAGAACUCCUCCACCGCCCUGCACUUGCCCGUAGCCUCAUGGCACCACUAGGAGGCUAACCCCCACUCCAAUUUGACCCUCGCAGCUCCCUCUGGCGAGAUCCAUGAUGACCCGAACCACCGUCCGCCGGAGAAAGGGCCGCCGUCAACACAGUGCUCCCCGGCGACCACCACCACCACCCAUAGACGCGGAAGGACGUUCUGAACACGGACGUAUCAUCCGAUCCCCCUGCCUCAUCGUGGAUCGCCGUCGGCGACCACCGCAUCUCUCGGGCGCCGUCGCGUCCCGUCUUCCUCAUUUGAAUUUUUAAACCUGACGGGUGGAGCCCGCCUGUCAGCCUCUCUUUCCUUUCUUUUAAACGAACCGUUUUCUGGACUUUUCUGCAGAACCCCCUGGAAGUUUUCUGUUUCAUUACAGAAAGGUCCUUGGAUCAAAACCCUUAUAACUUUUAAAUAGAAAAGGCUUUUUGUUUGAUUCUUUUUCUGUUCUCUUUGAAAUUUUGUCUAGUUUGUUAUCAGAUUUAUUUGAAAAUUAUUUGGAUUAAUUUUUGUGCACCUCGUGGUAUUUACGUUACGUGCAUAUUUUCUUAUACCGUAGAUACCGGAGGAGGUGACGGAGCCGCGAACUACACCCAGUUAGACUCCGACUACUUCGAACCAGGCAAGCAUGUUUGAACUCUUGAUAUGAUGAGUGUUUGUUGCAUGUUUGCAUUUAGGAGUUUCAUGGCAUGUUUAUGAACAUUUCUUUGAAUGUUAUAUUUCAUGCACAGAAGUGGAAAGUAAGUUUCGGAAAGCUAUAUGUUGUGGAUACAUAUUUGCAUGGCCAUGUGAUGGAAUGAGGAUGGGUAAGAUGGCAGUGUUGUGGCAUGCCAGUCUUAUGCCAGUCUAUUUGACUUCAGUGUCAUCGUGAAUCAAAUCAUAUUCCCAUUCAUUUCCUUCCUGUAAUGCCACUUGUUUUCCGCAAGGAAUAUGGCUUAGUAAGUUGCAAACCAUUUUCCUGGUACACACCAAGUAGAGAGGCCGGGAUGAGGGUUCCAUUGCCCUGGAUUAAAGCCCGUCAUCCGGUCAGGGGGCAUGGGUGUUUCCGGUUGGGACCGAGAGGGGGGCACCCCUUAGAGCGCGCGUAUAGAAAUUUGAUCCCAUGCUAUUCGAGGUUGUGACCUCCCCGUCUCAAAGUUUUUCUUGGACAUUGUCUAGGGUGAUUCCUGGCAUCGUGAGGUGGAAUGGGUGUGUACUAGUUAAAUGUGUUUCUACCGAAAUACCAUAAACGGAACUAGUCCUUCGUGACUACGGAAAUCCGUUGGCUGUGGUCAGUUAGUACAAACUCUGCAGAGUCACAAAUCCUUUAAAUCAUCUUGUACAUGUCCAAGUACUGUGUUCAUCUUAUCUUGUCAGAUAUCAACCUCAGUGACAAAACCCGGUGGACUACAUGAGUUUUAAACCCGGUUAAAAGUUUAUUCCUGUGGAUGGACUAACCCGUUAUUUACUUUUAAUAUAAGCCCUUUCUGUGAUGUCGCUCAGACGUUCGACUGUGGCAUACUUGUUAUUUACUUUUAAUAUAAGCCCUUUCUGUGAUGUCGCUCAGACAUCCGACUGUGGCAUUUCUUUUUUUUAAGCCCUUUCUGUGAUGUCACUCAGACGUCCGACUGUGGCAUACUUGUUAUUUACUUUUGAUAUAAGCCCUUUCUAUGAUGUCGCUCAGACGUCCGACUGUGGCAUACUUGUUAUGUACUUGUGAUAUAAGCCCUUUCUGUGAUGUCGCUCAGACGUCCGACUGUGGCAUUUCUUUUUUUUAAGCCCUUUCUGUGAUGUCGCUCAGACGUCCGACUGUGGCAUUUCUUUUAUAAGCCCUUUCUGUGAUGUCGCUCAGACGUCCGACUGUGGCAUUUCUUUUAUAAGCCCUUUAUGUGGUGUUGCUUAGACGCCCGACUGCGGCAUGAGCUUUAUUUGUUUACCUUUCGAGGCGUCGCUCCAGACACCCGAUCGGUUUUCAGUUAUUUGUUUUACUUAUCAAGUCGUGCAAAAAUAUUAUUAUUGGAAUGAGCAUCAUUAUUUUGUUCAUGACGCAUUCAUGCAUACAUUUGUUGUAUCUUUUGUCCAAACUGUCUUGUGAGUACUUUCAAAGUACUCACCUGGCUUGUUGAUUUGGCCAGAUGUUGCUGAAGGCGAUCUUAUGGAUGAAGAGUUCGAUAGCGAGUCCGACGCCUAGAGGAGUCCCAGUCAGUCCCGUGUGAUCCUGCAUUUGGUCAUUGUUAUACAUCCGCUUCCACCACCCCAGAAAUAAAUUCAUCGAGCCUCACCUUGACGCUCGAUGAGCUGCCAGUUAGGAGUCAAGUUAUCCACCACCACUUUUUAUCUCGAGCUAGUAGCAUGCCACCACACCCAUGUGUCAUAACCACCCUUAUGUAAGAUAUUGGCGAGUUUGUAAUAAAAUUGUUGAGCAGCCUCAGCUCAACCCUGUAAUAUAUUUAUGCUACUGGUCCUCUGUUUAUCAAGUAUUUGUCUACCAGUGAGGAUAAAUCUUCCUAUACUAGGAACUAAAGAUCGAUUUUCUCAAUAAUUAUUUUAUUGAAAAAACGGUCGUGACACAGCCCGGCAUGAAAGCACUAUGAAACUCUGAGACAAAACCUUCAGUCUAUUAGCAAGAACUUUAGAUGCAAGUUUGUACAAGACAUUGCACAGGCUAAUGGGGCGGAAUUUAGAGAGGUGUUGGGCAUUUUGUACCUUUGGGAUUAAGACAAUGAUUGAGUCGCAAAGUCCUUCGGGUAAAGCCUCGCCACUCAGGAAAGAGCGAAUUGCAUCGCAAAUAUCAUGCUGGAUCAGAUCCCAGUGAGUUUGAUAGAACAUGGUCGGCAAUCCAUCUGGCCCAGGAGCCUUCGUAGGUCCCAUUUGGAAGAGAGCUACCCUGAUCUCCUCAUUACUAUAUGGUUUGCACAGCUCAGCAUUCAUGUUGUCAUCCACCUUCCUCGGGAUAGCAUCCAACACCCUAUCCAUAGAGGUGCGGUCUCCAGCAGAGAAGAGAUCCUCGUAAAAAUCAUGUACCAUCUCUUUCAAUCCGUCCCGAGAAACACACUUGGAGCCAUCCUCCCGCACAAGAGCCUUGAUGCGGUUGGUGUGCCAUCGUGCAGAGGCCCGGGCAUGGAAGAACUCCGUAUUGCGGUCUCCCGCACAGAGCCAGACGAUCCGAGACCAUUGUCGUGCCAUGAUUUCCUCAUGCUCAAACAAUUCACAUAGCUGGCACUCUAGCUCACGUUCCUCCUUCAGCCCAGCAGCAUUCACGGGUGACGUGUGCAGAGACUUGAGUCUCCUUUCGGUUCUCUGGAUCUCACGUCGGACAGAACCAAAGGCCACCUUGCUCCAUUCCUUCAGAGCACCUGACACAUGGUUCAAAACUGACCAUGUUUCAUGCAGCGAGUGAGUUCCAGUGGCAUGGGCUUUCCAAGCAUUCUCCAGUACCUCAAUGUAUCCCUCAGCACGACACCACAUAGCCUCAUAGCGGGAUUUGUGUUGUACAGGGGGCCAAUCACCCAUCGCUUGCUGGGAGUCGAGGGAGAUGGCCACCGCAUAAUGGUCAGAAGUGGUAGUAAUUAUGUUUUCCACAUGAUAGAACUCGAACAUGGCAGUAAAGUCACCGUUAGCCACAGCGCGGUCAUGUCUGACCCGCACAUUGCAUUGCACGUCCUGCCGAUUAGUCCAGGUGAACUUUGGACCAGAAAAACCGAGGUCCACCAGCCCGCAGUCAUCAAGACAGUUUCGGAAAAGCUCCAUCUGGGCAUCCGAUCGGUCACGAGCUCCAAAGUGCUCAUCAUGGCAGAGAGCCUCGUUGAAAUCGCCACAGCAAAUCCACGGACCCUUCCACGACUGGUACAACCUCCUUAUCAAGCUCCAAAAUUCAUGACGAAGCUCGUGCUUUGGUUCCCCAUAAACAAAGGUCACCCGCCAGGGAGCUAGAUCAUCCGAUGAGACCGUCACAUCAAUGCAAUGUGAGUUGAAACCCUUCAGCAAAACUGAAUGUGGCGAAGACCAGAAAAGGGCCAAGCCUCCACAGAGGCCUUCGGAGCUAACAGCGAAAGAACCAGAGUAGCCCAAAGACCACAUAAAGUUCUUUGCUUUACGAUCCACCAUCUUGGUCUCCGACAAGAAGAGGAUCGAGGGUCGAUAAGUCUUCACUAACCAGCGAAGCUCGCCCACUGUCGCGUCCGACCCCAGGCCACGACAGUUCCAGCAUAGGAUACUCAUUGCGGCUGGCGGGGCUGCUCUGCAGCCGCCGCCGGAUCGAGAGAGUGUUGUCCUCGGUUUCUUGUUGGGGUCAUUUUCUUGGUACUCCUCAGUAUCAAGAUUCCCAUCGCUUGCAUUUGACGAGACCACCAGCGCGAGGGCAUUCCCCGCAUUAGGAAGUUGCUCAUCUACCGUAGAAGUAGUAGCCUGGUCCUUUGCCUUUUUUCUUUUCUGCCCACUCAUCCCAUUCUUGGAUUUCUGAGCAGGAAACAAUUCUUUUCCAGUGCCAGCAGAACGACCUCUUCCGCGGCCGCGGUUGGAGCGUCCCCUGCCCUGGUUGGUCAUCCGACCACCUUUGAUGUGGGAGGAAACCUCCCCAUCCUCGUCUCCAGCAGCAGCCUUGCCGAAGUUCGGCGCCCUACUUCCAGCAGCAGAUGACCGGAAGCCCCCAGAAGGAACCUUGUGACUAGGGGGUUGGGACUCAUAGCCAGCAGAUGACGAGGCAUUGCCUGACUUUGCGCCAUUUGACCUUCGUAUCUGGUCAACGAUAGCACAUACUUUCUUCACCGCAUAGGGCAAGUCACCAUUAACAUCGCGUUCCGAGGGGGCAGAACACAAGAUUGAGGAGUGUCCGAGUAGCCCACAUGAAAAGCAAUACAGAGGGAGGCGCUCAUACAUCACGGAAUAAGUUUCGGUGGUCUUGAGCUUAGCUGAGGUCACCGUCACAUAGCGCACCAAAGGUUCAUGCACCGCAAUUUCUGCUCUGAUGCGCAUAAAGGCUCCCCAGCAGCGCCCUCCUGAGUCAGCCUCCACCCGAAGAAUUGUUCCGAUUGGCUUGGCAACCUCCAUGCCCAACUUUGAGUUCAUCAGUCUUGGUGGGAGUGCCAUAAUCCUGGCCCAUAUGUCCAGCCGGUCAAAAUUAACCUGCAUUGGCUGGAUGUCCGGAUUGUAAUUCUUGAGCAGGACGGCGUGCUUGCCGACCACCCAUGGUGAGUUUUCCAUCACACGCACACGGUCUUCUCUCGUACCAAAUUCUGCAACGAACAGAUUGUCUCCCGCAGGGUGGAAUAGCAGCCCUUUCGGAUUUCCCCAAGCCGGCCUCAUCGCCGACGAGAUCGUCUGAUUAUGAAGAACACCAGGGGAAAGCACCUUCCCCACCAAUGCACAAUCGGAGUCGACCAUAUCGGCGUCGUCUUCAUCGUCCAACAACACAGGUUGCGCCUCGACUGCAGUCAGCCGCAAGCGCUCCAACAGGUCUUCUACAGGUGCACCGGAGCCGGAACCACCCGUCUCCCGCACCGGUUCAGAGGUCGUCGUCGCCUUACCCGAGCUGGGAAGCAGCGGCCUUGAUGGAGCACCGCCGCUUCAUGGGGUCAAACGGGCGGCCGCCUCACCGCUCAUCCCCUUCUCCUCUGCAGUCUCCGCCAUGAGCACGUCGGCAGAUCCUAGUCAGCAAUGGCCAAGGGUGGGUAGCAAUGCAAGGAUUUCCCCGUAAUCACACGGAACCAUGGCCAGCUAGAAAUCCAGCCGUCACCGACCAGCUGGAGCAAGAACAGGGGAAGGUGGGGGAGCAAAGGGAGAGAUUGCAGGCUAUGUGCAAUCCCAGACGGAGAUCACCUCCCAGAGGCCGCUAAUUGCCGGCGCACAGCGACUCUAGGGGAGCCAUCAGAUCCAUCCGCCGCCCAAGCACGAACACCGGCGGGGAUCGAAGAUUCGCCCCCGAAAUCGCCUCGCGGUACUGAACGGGUGGAGUCCACAUUAGCACCGAAGCCAAUCACUUGUGCCUCCAACUGAUAUAGUAUCCCAAAGAUGAUGCCCCCAUGAGGGUCAUGAUGCAGGAACCUCGCCAUCUUCUGAUCCGUAAAGUCUAAAUCUAGGAUUUCCCUCUGUGACGUCCGGAUAAUUAAGCUACAGUAAUUCUCUGUUAAUGAUGCCACGUCACUUCGAUUACUAUCGGUAAUCUCGCGUUAGUUCAGAACCGAUCCAAAUUCAGACUUGAAUUAAAGUCAAAACAAUUUAAGUUUUCAAAAGUCAAAACUAAGUUGUUCCUAAUGUGUCAAAUAGUCCAUAAUAAAUGUUGGUGAAGAAAUCAUCUUUGAAUAAAAUACUUAAAUGCACUAAAUAAACUAAAACGACGAUAAAACAAUUAUUAAAAAUGCUUUUAAAAUAAUAAGCAAAUGCAAAAAUACUUUAUUUAAAGUGCCAAAAAAUAAUUUGGGGUUGUGACCUAUUUAAUAACACCAAGUUAGUUGUCGCUUUUAGAUUUUAUAAAACAAAAAUAAAAGAAAACAUAAAAGUAAUAGAAUAUUAAAAAAAACAGAACAAACAAAAAAGGGAAAAGAAACACCCCCCCUGCUGGGCCUCAGCCCAGCUGGCCAUUGGGCUAACCAGGCCGGCCCAGCCGGCNNNNNNNNNNNNNNNNNNNNNNNNNNNNNNNNNNNNNNNNNNNNNNNNNNNNNNNNNNNNNNNNNNNNNNNNNNNNNNNNNNNNNNNNNNNNNNNNNNNNNNNNNNNNNNNNNNNNNNNNNNNNNNNNNNNNNNNNNNNNNNNNNNNNNNNNNNNNNNNNNNNNNNNNNNNNNNNNNNNNNNNNNNNNNNNNNNNNNNNNNNNNNNNNNNNNNNNNNNNNNNNNNNNNNNNNNNNNNNNNNNNNNNNNNNNNNNNNNNNNNNNNNNNNNNNNNNNNNNNNNNNNNNNNNNNNNNNNNNNNNNNNNNNNNNNNNNNNNNNNNNNNNNNNNNNNNNNNNNNNNNNNNNNNNNNNNNNNNNNNNNNNNNNNNNNNNNNNNNNNNNNNNNNNNNNNNNNNNNNNNNNNNNNNNNNNNNNNNNNNNNNNNNNNNNNNNNNNNNNNNNNNNNNNNNNNNNNNNNNNNNNNNNNNNNNNNNNNNNNNNNNNNNNNNNNNNNNNNNNNNNNNNNNNNNNNNNNNNNNNNNNNNNNNNNNNNNNNNNNNNNNNNNNNNNNNNNNCCCCGCACGAACCCCCCCACUCCUCCUGCACGAAACCCCACUCCUCGUGACCGAGACACCCACCCUCUCCCGUUCUCCAGCGUCGCCAAGCACCCCGCGCCCGACGCCCCGCCACCACGCCACUAGAUGGACGCCUCGCCACCUCGCCGCUGGAUGGACGCCCCGCCGCCUACCGUCGACGCUCGCCUCCCCGACCUCCUCCCCGGCGGACUCCGUCGAGCCUCGCCGGCGAACCCCUGCAUCGGGGGUGAGCGAAACUCCCCUCUCCUUUCUGUCUCCCUCGAACGUGCGUCCCUAGUCCGUCGCCGCGGCCGCCGCACUCGGCGCACGCCCCUGACCAUCGCCCUGUGCGCGCGCCGCCCGUGCUCACCGCGGCCUAGCCUCGCCCGGCGUGCCGUCACGCGCAACCGCAGCCGCGCCGAGCCGCACCUGUAGUGCUGCUCCUUCCCGGAGCGCUCGCACCUGUCGUGGCCCGCACCACCGCAGCCCCCUGCUGCCUCCGACGCAACCACCAUCGCCCCGCUCGCUGUCUCUACUCGAGACCGCCCGCGACGACCCCGCUGGCCACCGCGGCCAUCUGCGCCGGCCUCCCGCUCCAGUUCCUCCCCUCCGCCGCUUCCCCUGACCGGCGUCAUGGGCGCCGGCGGCCGUACCGAUGGCCUCGACCGAAGCAGCGCUCUGAUUCGCCCAUAGUCGGGCGCGCCCGUUACCACCACCAAUGCCCGUCGCCCGACCCACCAUAGGCCAUUGGGCCUAUGGCACGAGGGGCCCACAGCCCGAGAACGAAAAAAAAAUAAAAAAAAAUAAAUUUAAUUAAUUAAUUAAUUAACUAAAUUAAUUAAGUUAAUUAACCUUAAUUAAUUAAUCUAAUUAACCUGUUAGCUUAAUUAAAUAGUAAUUAGUUUAACUAAAUCCUAAUUAACCUAACAGAGUAUGACAGGUGGGUCCCAUUGGACCCACGCGUCAGUUUGACCCAGUCAACCCCUGUUGACUGUUGAUGUCAGCAUGACGUCAUGCUGACGUCAUAAAUCCAUUUUCCGAAUUAAUUAAAUAAUUAAAUAAAUUCCAGAAAUUAAUAAAAUCUUUAGAAAAUCAUAUCUUUUAAUCCGUAACUCGGAUUAAAAUAUUUUCAACAUGAAAGUUGCUCAGAACGACGAGACGAAUCCGGAUACGCAGUCCGUUCGUCCGCCACACACCCAUAACCUAUCGAACCCGCAACUUUCCCCCUCCGGCUCCUCUGCCCGAAAACACGAAACACCGGGGAUAUUUUCCUGAAUGUUUCCCCCCCUUAACCGGUACCACCUCAUACCACGCUAGGGCACGCCUAGCAUCGUUACUUGUCUUGUCAUGCAUCGAAAUGCAUCUGUUUACAUGGUAUUCAUUGUUUCUUCCCCCCUCUUCUCUCCGGUAGACUACGAGACCGACGCUGCUGCUGCCCAGCUCGACUACGGAGUUGACGACCCCUCUCUCUUGCCAGAGCAACCAGGCAAGCCCCCCCCUUGAUCACCAGAUAUCGCCUACUCUUAUCUAUAUUGCUUGCAUUAGAGUAGUGUAGCAUGUUACUGCUUUCCGUUAAUCCUAUUCUGAUGCAUAGCCUGUCAUUGCUGCUACAGUCAUUGAUACCUUACCCGCAAUCCUAAAUGCUUAGUAUAGGAUGCUAGUGUUCCAUUAGUGGCCCUACACUCUUGUCCGUCUGCCAUGCUAUACUACUGGGCUGUGAUCACUUCGGGAGGUGAUCACGGGCAUAUACGAUAUACUUUACACAGUUACAUCAUCUGUGAUACUGUUCGGAGUUGGGGGCUGAAGGGGCAGGUGGCUCCAUCCCGGUAGAGGUGGGCCUGGGUUCCCGACGGCCCCCGACUGUUACUUUGUGGCGGAGCGACAGGGCAGGUUGAGACCACCUAGGAGACAGGUGGGCCUGAUCCUGUUCGGCAUUCGCGGAUACUUAACACGCUUAACGAGAUCUUGGUAUUUGAUCUGAGUCUGGCUACGAGCCUAUACGCACUAACCAUCUACGUGGGAGUAGUUAUGGGUAUCCCGACGUCGUGGUAUCAGCCGAAGCACUUCGUGACAUCAGCGACUGAGCGGCGCGCGCCGGGUUGGACUGCUUUAACGCAACUUCCUUUGUAAUGGAGGUUGCUAGGUCUGCUCACCGGCCGCGUACGCAACGUGCAGGUGUGCUCAGGGCGAUGGGCCCAGACCCCUGCGCGCUUAGGUUUAGACCGGCGUGCUGGCCUCUCCGUUGAGCCUAGGUGGGGCUGCGACGUGUUGAUCUUCCGCGGCCGGGCAUGACCCAGGAAAGUGUGUCCGGCCAAAUGGGAUCGAGCGUGUUGGGUUAUGUGGUGCACCCCUGCAGGGAAGUUAAUCUAUUCGAAUAGCCGUGAUCUUCGGUAAUAGGACGACUUGGAGUUGUACCUUGACCUUAUGACAACUAGAACAGGAUACUUAAUAAAACACACCCUUCCAAGUUCCACAGACAACCCGGUGAUCGCUUUUCUACAGGGCGACGAGGAGAGGAUCGCCGGGUAGGAUUAUGCUAUGCGAUGCGACUGGAGAUGCGCUUGGAGAUGCUACCUGGAUAUGCUACUUGGAGAUGCUACUUGGAGGACUUCAAUCUACUCUCUUCUACAUGCUGCAAGACGGAGGCUGCCAGAAGCGUAGUCUUCGACAGGAUUAGCUACCCCCCUCUUAUUCUGGCAUUCUGCAGUUCAGUCCACUGAUAUGGCCUCCUUACACAUAUACCCAUGCAUAUGUAGUGUAGUUCCUUGCUUGCGAGUACUUUGGAUGAGUACUCACGGUUGCUUUCUCCCCCCUUUUUCCCCUUUUCCUUUCUUUCUGGUUGUCGCAACCAGAUGCUGCAGUUCAGGAGCCAGACGCCACCGUCGACGACGACCCCUACUACACCGGAGGUGCCCCUACUACGUGCAGCCCGCUGACGACGACCAGGAGUAGUUAGGAGGAUCCCAGGCAGGAGGCCUGCGCCUCUUUCGAUCUGUAUGCCAGUUUGUGCUAGCCUUCUUAAGGCAAACUUGUUUAACUUAUGUCUGUACUCAGUUAUUGUUGCUUCCGCUGACUCGUCUAUGAUCGAGCACUUGUAGCCCUCGAGGCCCCUGGCUUGUAUUAUGAUGCUUGUAUGACUUAAUUUAUUUGUAGAGUUGUGUUGUGAUAUCUUCCCGUGAGUCCCUGAUCUUGAUCGUACACAUUUGCGUGCAUGAUUAGUGUACGGUCAAAUCGGGGGCGUCACAAGUUGGUAUCAGAGCCGACUGCCUGUAGGAAUCCCCCUUCCAACUCCUUGGCCGAAGUCGAGUCUAGACUUUACAAAACUUUUACUAACAUGGCUGUGCGGCCCAUGGGCCCACGUCACCAUUGGGUGGUAGUAGGAUCUUUUACUCCUCGACCUUUACUCUGGGACUCUGAACUCUCUUCUACUCGGGUUAAACGAUUUCUACUAAAAUCUGACUUUAGGUUCUCGAAAAUACUUUCUCCCGGAGAGCCCCUUCAGUCCAGGUGAUCGCCGACUGCACCAGAAGAUUUCGAAGUUACUCGCCGAAACUCUUUUGAGACUUUGUGUCCGUUGCUUUUGCAAUUCCCUACCAUCGAAAUAUCCCUAUGGAUAAAUACUUACACUUGACGUUCUUACUUUUAUUCCCAGUUGAUCUUGUUAUUACCAGAUACCCCGAAAUUCUCUCUAUUGAUCCGAGAAUAUCUUGCGCCUACUGUCUUGCAAUUCCUUGUCACCUGAAUACCCCUUUGGAUAAUUCUCGCACUUGUCGAGUAUCCGCUUAUCCCCAGUUGUUCAUGUGUUUCACAAAAGUCUUCAAAAUAAUAUUCGAUCUUCCGAAAAUCCUCUGGACCCUUUGGCUCUUGAAAUUCUUGCUUGCUUGCAUUAUGGUUAAUCCCUUAAGUCUCGUAGUCUUAAUGACAUUCCUUGUCAUUAUCAUUUUGAGUCUGUUGACUCAAUAUGUUUGCGAAUACCCGCAAACAUCAUUGAUCCUUAUAAAUUACCUUUCCGGCUGAGCUGCCAUUCUUUUAACUGGAAUUGGUUCUCGACCAAUCCAAUUGUCGUUGAUUGUACCCUAAGGCUAUUCAACUUAUCCAUCCCUAAUCAGAGCAUUGCUUCUGAUCCCUUGAUUUGGAAAUCAUAAUUCCUUUGCAUUUGACAAUUGAGUUAGUCAGUUGUUUCUAUAAUUUGAUCUCCUUGCACUCUUCUUCCUCUAGUUGAGUACCGAUGCUCACGUCAGAUCCCUUGUGGACCAUCAGGCCCAUUGUUGGAUUUUAUCCGUCAGCAUCCUUCAUAUUCAAUAACCUUGUGAGCCUCCCCUUGGAUACAUAAUGCCUUGGCAAUUGUAACAUCUACUUUCUCAACCUUGCUCUACUUUCGAGCUUGUGUUAUUUACUCCUGAAGUUUGUGGUAUAUGUUCCUAGGAGGCCCUAAUGGGUUGGACAUAUGCUCUUCUUUAAACUGUGUGAACCCGGAAACCACUACGGGUCAUACUCUACUAGUGUUAUGUCAGAUAAAAUUUCAACACACAAUUUCGUUGAAGGCGAGAAGUGAAUGAAAGGUUAUGCAUUAAAGAAGUGGGAGUCGACCUUGAACUUGUGUUCAUGCCCAUGGACGCGAUUUAUAUCCUAUCAUGAAAGCUUCUUGUAACAAUAACUAUUUCCUUGAUAACUAACCUAUGGUAUCUGUGAAUUGAUUCCUUGCAACCAUGGCUCCGACCAUGAUUGUUCUUCUUUGAUCUCAUUUCUCGGACAAGUUAAAACAAUUGUCUUCUAUGGAUCAAUACACCAGUCCAACCUUUACUUUGAUCUUGUGUCGAGUAUUACCCCCCUGGUAUCUCGAGAUUAUCAUGGAACUGCAUAACUUUUUAUGAGUUCUUCAUCAAGUGCUACCUUCCCACUGAUUCCAAUUUUUCGCGGGCUCUGAGUUAAUAAACACUCAAAGACACCGAUAACGGAACCGAGUCCGCUCUACGGUUCAAUAACUCUUCAGUAAGCUUCUAUAAGUACGAGUUUGUACCCGAUCACGCCAUUCCUAGCCUGUUUGGCUAUAUCAUUGUCGUGAUGAUCUUAACUGUGCAAUCCGGCCCCUAUUCUCGGAGCACCAAUUUGCGACGAUAGCUAAGCUUACGUCGAUUUUCCUCGUCAUACCCUUUCACCUUAAACAACAAGCUUGAGUUCGAGUUUGUGUCGUAACUGUGGAUCCAAUAACCUCUUGCUUCACCAUUCCUUUGACUUGAUGUCGUCGCUGAUUGAUUACAUCUGCAUGAAAUCUCUCGACAAUGGUGUCGUGAUCAUCAUCAACCUUAUGAGCUCUUCCAGGAAUUCAAAUGAAUUCAUGAUGGGUAAUACCAUCCUUGCCCCUCGAUGAUUCAUGUUCUCAUCGACCACUUUAUUGCCUUCCGUCCAACACAACUUGUUCGUGUUUUGUGUAAACCUUGAGACCCCUGCUACCCAGCAGUUGAUCUUCCUUACCUCGGAAGUAUUACCAUCCCUUUUGGUCAAGAAUGUGGUGAGAAUUUCACCACCUCUUAAGAAUUCUUGAUAUCAUAAUACUUCUUGCCAUCUUCGUUCAUUCCUUGGUCCCCGUAUUGUUUUCAACCGGAAUACCGACAAUUGAGCUAUGAAGUGUGAAUUCUAAAAUUCUAACAACCCUAUUGCUUUGAAGUGAAUGGGCAAUAGUUCAUUCUAAGUCCUUCGCAAAUUGAAUCACCAUUCUGACAUUGGUCGUGCAACCCAACCCAUAUUUCGGGCGCACCUUUCAACCAAUGUUUAAUUGUGUAUGUUUUCCUCGAGCUUACUUCCUUAUAUCAUUUGAUCUGACAAAUGUUAUCUCCUUGUUCACUUAAUUGUGGAAAUCCAUCUUUUGGAAAUCUCGAAGAAUUGUCGUUGAGUUCAUCAUCCACCUCCUUGUCCUCUUCUGGGGAUAAUGAUGAACUCUUGUUAACGGAAAUCACUUCAUGGUUCAUUUCCCGAGAAUCUUACAGUGUCAUCCCGUCAAUUGGUGUUGCACCUUUCUUCUCAGGCAUCAUGAGCCUGAGGUAUCCUGACACCAAUCAUACCUGAAUCUCCGUCAGAUAUGAUGGUUAGGACAACUUUCCAAGAGUUAUAACAUUGGUCCUUUGAUGACCUGGUAACAUGAUGUCAUGCCUAGCACCCCCCCCUGGGUGGAGGACCUAUUAUUGUAGUAUCCUUUUUAGCAAGUUUAGCCAUUCUUCCCUGAGGAAAUUGUAAGACUUAUCCUACCAGUUGUUCCUAAUGGAUCCUUCCUAUAUCUAAAGUCUGACCUUUUGCUCGAAGACCAUGUCAAUGCUAUCUCGAAGCAUGUCUAUGGUACUCCAAAUUUUCAACAAGAACAUUUGAAGCCCAAUGAUAAAUGUUUCCUGCUCAAUUAUCCAAACACCGUUGUAUGGGUAAUAUCAUGAAAUUUCUCUCCCCUACCUAAGGAGUUUUCUACAUAAUAUCCUGUCAUGGAUAUCAUGCUCUGCUUGUCCUUGGGAAGGAUAUACCCCUGAUAUACGUGUUUAAGCACAUUUUCCUUCCCGUUGUUUUGUUCAAACUUACUUGUAAACUACUUAACCGAGCAGUGGUAAUCCCCUGCUUAGGUAAACACCUCAGUGUACCUUCCUGUCUGGUGUAACCCUGUUUCUACUGUUGAUAACUUUCGGUAACCGCCGAUGGACGAGAACUUUGCCUAUUGGUCCGCCUCGUUCAACGAGCAGGAAAAUGGUUCUCUUCGUCCCUCGCCCCUGGUACCGACAUUGUGCUGACAUAACUGAUAGGCUACCCUCUGACAUGCCUUGCUAUUGUGACCGUGCGAGAUGUCACCGCUCCUAUUUUUAACCCACAUGGUGGGCCCAUGACCCACAAUUCCACAGGAUCGAAACCUGACUCUCCUGUACACCCCCUGUUCCCAAAGUUAUUCCUCACGCGUGGCCUCGUGUGUAAUUCACGAGCCACCUUCCGAUGAGAUCAUCAAUCUGGUAUCAGACGCAAUACUUAUUCCCAUUGCUCUGAACCCCUUUCACACUUCGCUUCAGGCAACGAACGAUUGCCUAUGCGCUUGAAACUUCUAUUUGGCACCUUCUUGCUUUGCUCUCGAUAUUGUCUUAAAUUUCAAUUCGAGAGUUACUUUCCGUCACCUUCCUCGUUGUUGUCUACCAGAUAAUCAACCCUGCAGAGAUCCAUUCUUCGGUAUACCCCCUUAAUCUUUCGUUAGUACAAUGAAAUUUCCGAAGAAAGGAUGAUGACUUCAUCAUGAUGGCCUGAAGCAGAGAAAGGAAGACAUCAAUAUAAUGGGUCGACCUCUUCGAGAAGAGCAACCAAGACUGAGAAGAUCCGUUAGCAUUUCGUAAUUAGAUCCCUCCCCCCUUACUCCUGCUCCUAAAUCUCGGGACGAGAUUUCUUGUAGUGGAGGAGAAUUGUGACGUCCGGAUAAUUAAGCUACAGUAAUUCUCUGUUAAUGAUGCCACGUCACUUCGAUUACUAUCGGUAAUCUCGCGUUAGUUCAGAACCGAUUCAAAUUCAGACCUUUAUUAAAGUCAAAACAAUUUAAGUUUUCAAAAGUCAAAACUAAGUUGUUCCUAAUGUGUCAAAUAGUCCAUAAUAAAUGUUGGUGAAGAAAUCAUCUUUGAAUAAAAUACUUAAAUGCACUAAAUAAACUAAAACGGCGAUAAAACAAUUAUUAAAAAUGCUUUUAAAAUAAUAAGCAAAUGCAAAAAUACUUAAUUUAAAGUGCCAAAAAAAUUUGGGGUUGUGACCUAUUUAAUAACACCAAGUUAGUUGUCGCUUUUAGAUUUUAUAAAACAAAAAUAAAAGAAAACAGAAAAGUAAUAGAAUAUUAAAAAAAAAACAGAACAAACAAAAAAGGGAAAAGAAACACCCCNNNNNNNNNNNNNNNNNNNNNNNNNNNNNNNNNNNNNNNNNNNNNNNNNNNNNNNNNNNNNNNNNNNNNNNNNNNNNNNNNNNNNNNNNNNNNNNNNNNNNNNNNNNNNNNNNNNNNNNNNNNNNNNNNNNNNNNNNNNNNNNNNNNNNNNNNNNNNNNNNNNNNNNNNNNNNNNNNNNNNNNNNNNNNNNNNNNNNNNNNNNNNNNNNNNNNNNNNNNNNNNNNNNNNNNNNNNNNNNNNNNNNNNNNNNNNNNNNNNNNNNNNNNNNNNNNNNNNNNNNNNNNNNNNNNNNNNNNNNNNNCCCCGCACGAACCCCCCCACUCCUCCUGCACGAAACCCCACUCCUCGUGACCGAGACACCCACCCUCUCCCGUUCUCCAGCGUCGCCAAGCACCCCGCGCCCGACGCCCCGCCACCACGCCACUAGAUGGACGCCUCGCCACCUCGCCGCUGGAUGGACGCCCCGCCGCCUACCGUCGACGCUCGCCUCCCCGACCUCCUCCCCGGCGGACUCCGUCGAGCCUCGCCGGCGAACCCCUGCAUCGGGGGUGAGCGAAACUCCCCUCUCCUUUCUGUCUCCCUCGAACGUGCGUCCCUAGUCCGUCGCCGCGGCCGCCGCACUCGGCGCACGCCCCUGACCAUCGCCCUGUGCGCGCGCCGCCCGUGCUCACCGCGGCCUAGCCUCGCCCGGCGUGCCGUCACGCGCAACCGCAGCCGCGCCGAGCCGCACCUGUAGUGCUGCUCCUUCCCGGAGCGCUCGCACCUGCCGUGGCCCGCACCACCGCAGCCCCCUGCUGCCUCCGACGCAACCACCAUCGCCCCGCUCGCUGUCUCUACUCGAGACCGCCCGCGACGACCCCGCUGGCCACCGCGGCCAUCUGCGCCAGCCUCCCGCUCCAGUUCCUCCCCUCCGCCGCUUCCCCUGACCGGCGUCAUGGGCGCCGGCGGCCGUACCGAUGGCCUCGACCGAAGCAGCGCUCUGAUUCGCCCAUAGUCGGGCGCGCCCGUUACCACCACCAAUACCCGUCGCCCGACCCACCAUAGGCCAUUGGGCCUAUGGCACGAGGGGCCCACAGCCCGAGAACGAAAAAAUAAAAAAAAAAUUUAAUUAAUUAAUUAAUUAACUAAAUUAAUUAACUUAAUUAACCUUAAUUAAUUAAUCUAAUUAACCUGUUAGCUUAAUAAAACAGUAAUUAGUUUAACUAAAUCCUAAUUAACCUAACAGAGUAUGACAGGUGGGUCCCAUUGGACCCACGCGUCAGUUUGACCCAGUCAACCCCUGUUGACUGCUGAUGUCAGCAUGACGUCAUGCUGACGUCAUAAAUCCAUUUUCCGAAUUAAUUAAAUAAUUAAAUAAAUUCCAGAAAUUAAUAAAAUCUUUAGAAAAUCAUAUCUUUUAAUCCGUAACUCGGAUUAAAAUAUUUUCAACAUGAAAGUUGCUCAGAACGACGAGACGAAUCCGGAUACGCAGUCUGUUCGUCCGCCACACACCCCUAACCUAUCGAACCCGCAACUUUCCCCCUCCGGCUCCUCUGCCCGAAAACACGAAACACCGGGGAUAUUUUCCCGAAUGUUUCCCCCCCUUAACCGGUACCACCUCAUACCACGCUAGGGCACGCCUAGCAUCGUUACUUGUCUUGUCAUGCAUCGAAAUGCAUCUGUUUACAUGGUAUUCAUUGUUUCUUCCCCCCUCUUCUCUCUGGUAGACUACGAGACCGACGCUGCUGCUGCCCAGCUCGACUACGGAGUUGACGACCCCUCUCUCUUGCCAGAGCAACCAGGCAAGCCCCCCCCUUGAUCACCAGAUAUCGCCUACUCUUCUCUAUAUUGCUUGCAUUAGAGUAGUGUAGCAUGUUACUGCUUUUCGUUAAUCCUAUUCUGAUGCAUAGCCUGUCAUUGCUGCUACAGUCAUUGAUACCUUACCCGCAAUCCUAAAUGCUUAGUAUAGGAUGCUAGUGUUCCAUUAGUGGCCCUACACUCUUGUCCGUCUGCCAUGCUAUACUACUGGGCUGUGAUCACUUCGGGAGGUGAUCACGGGCAUAUACGAUAUACUUUACAUAGUUACAUCAUCUGUGAUACUGUUCGGAGUUGGGGGCUGAAGGGGCAGGUGGCUCCAUCCCGGUAGAGGUGGGACUGGGUUCCCGACGGCCCCCGACUGUUACUUUGUUGCGGAGCGACAGGGCAGGUUGAGACCACCUAGGAGACAGGUGGGCCUGAUCCUGUUCGGCGUUCGCGGAUACUUAACACGCUUAACGAGAUCUUGGUAUUUGAUCUGAGUCUGGCUACGAGCCUAUACGCACUAACCAUCUACGUGGGAGUAGUUAUGGGUAUCCCGACGUCGUGGUAUCAGCCGAAGCACUUCGUGACGUCAGCGACUGAGCGGCGCGCGCCGGGUUGGACUGCGUUAACGCAACUUCCUUUGUAAUGGAUGUUGCUAGGUCUGCUCACCGGCCGCGUACGCAACGUGCAGGUGUGCUCAGGGCGAUGGGCCCAGACCCCUGCGCGCUUAGGUUUAGACCGGCGUGCUGGCCUCUCCGUUGAGCCUAGGUGGGGCUGCGACGUGUUGAUCUUCCGCGGCCGGGCAUGACCCAGGAAAGUGUGUCCGGCCAAAUGGGAUCGAGCGUGUUGGGUUAUGUGGUGCACCCCUGCAGGGAAGUUAAUCUAUUCGAAUAGCCGUGAUCUUCGGUAACAGGACGACUUGGAGUUGUACCUUGACCUUAUGACAACUAGAACAGGAUACUUAAUAAAACACACCCUUCCAAGUUCCACAGACAACCCGGUGAUCGCUUUUCUACAGGGCGACGAGGAGAGGAUCGCCGGGUAGGAUUAUGCUAUGCGAUGCGACUGGAGAUGCGCUUGGAGAUGCUACCUGGAUAUGCUACUUGGAGAUGCUACUUGGAGGACUUCAAUCUACUCUCUUCUACAUGCUGCAAGACGGAGGCUGCCAGAAGCGUAGUCUUCGACAGGAUUAGCUACCCCCCUCUUAUUCUGGCAUUCUGCAGUUCAGUCCACUGAUAUGGCCUCCUUACACAUAUACCCAUGCAUAUGUAGUGUAGUUCCUUGCUUGCGAGUACUUUGGAUGAGUACUCACGGUUGCUUUCUCCCCCCUUUUUCCCCUUUUCCUUUCUUUCUGGUUGUCGCAACCAGAUGCUGGAGUUCAGGAGCCAGACGCCACCGUCGACGACGACCCCUACUACACCGGAGGUGCCCCUACUACGUGCAGCCCGCUGACGAUGACCAGGAGUAGUUAGGAGGAUCCCAGGCAGGAGGCCUGCGCCUCUUUCGAUCUGUAUGCCGGUUUGUGCUAGCCUUCUUAAGGCAAACUUGUUUAACUUAUGUCUGUACUCAGUUAUUGUUGCUUCCGCUGACUCGUCUAUGAUCGAGCACUUGUAUUCGAGCCCUCGAGGCCCCUGGCUUGUAUUAUGAUGCUUGUAUGACUUAAUUUAUUUGUAGAGUUGUGUUGUGAUAUCUUCCCGUGAGUCCCUGAUCUUGAUCGUACACAUUUGCGUGCAUGAUUAGUGUACGGUCAAAUCGGGGGCGUCUCACCCUCGAGGCAUGCAGCAAACCCGAAUCGCCCCACAAUACCUCCAAUGAGGUAAGAAGCCUGCGAGCACCGUUGUUGAUGGUUCAGGCAAAGGCCGAACCAAGCUUUCGCUGGCAAAAGCACACCAAUCCCCCGCUGGACCGUUAGAUCCACCUCCACCGUCAUCCAUGGGUGAUGUCCCUGCCAUCGGGAUACCUCACAACCAAAGCCGUUGUGGUGUUACAGUCUCCUGAACCGUCGCCCUGUGUGGGUGAGCCAUCUACAGCGGAGGAGCCCUCACCGCUGCAAUACCGAUGCCGGACAAGCCACAUGCCUAGGACACCCAUGCAGAUCUUUGCCGCAUGCAUCCCGGAGCAACGGCGGUGGAAGACCCCGGCGCCAUAUCUGGACCUGUCGCCCCCGUCCAUGGCAGCCACGCGACAACGUCGGGAGGAGACGAGAAGGUGGAGAGGAGAGGGUGGCCGAUUGAUCUGAGGUGCGGGCUCGAAGAUGGGCGCUUGUGGCGGCGGCGCUGGGUUUACGAGAGGAGCGCUUUGGACCAGAAAAUAAAAUCUUCGUCUUAUUUCUCUAUAUAGUUUGUCUUCAAGGCAUGGUGUAUUUAAUUUUCCAAACAAUAGAAGUUAAAACUUGAUAGCAUAUUUCAUCCAAAGUCAGUCUUGGCAAAACAAGAAAUAGAAAAUGAUGCAUGACCUUUCUUCUUUCUGAGGGCUGAUACAUUUACAUGAUACUGUUCCGCCCCACAAGUAUAGUUUAUCCAAAUCAAAAGGUCGGUUGAAGAAAAUAAUUACAAAAACAAACACAUUUGUUGGUCCUUAAGGGUAUGGAACCAACAUGCUAGUCCUCCGGCACUAUAAAUAGCACCCCUAGACUUGAAAAUAAAAGGAAUGACCAUGCCCAUGAUCAGUAACAAGGAAUAACAAGGAGUGAUCAUGAAUAGGAUGUGAAGGAUUAUUUUAUUGAACCUGUGAAGUAAUUACAUGGAAGAUUCAUGACAAUAUUAUUCCCAACAUGUCAUACCACUACUACUGAAUUGCCCAUAAAGAAAAUAUAAUAUGCAAUAUGUUAAUCAAGGAAACAUGAUUCUGCAGUUUAGCAAUGCACAAUUCAAACAAUCUUUAUGGUCUUCACAUAUAUUUAAGAUACGAGCUGAAUUAAAUGUACAAUAGAGUGCAAUACAUUUCUUACACAGAACAACUAACAUGGAGCAUAUGAAUACUAUAGUAUCCUAUAUGCUUUAUGUCCAUGUGUUAUUUCAGAUAUAAAACUUCACCGGAUCCAUGACAUAACUUAUCACAUAGUUACAAGAUAACGUUUUGUGCAUUGAAACGGUUUAAAUGUCAAAGUAUUGGACGAAGCUACCAGUUGCAAUGCUCUGCAUAGAAUGGAAACAAUAAGUGCAAUAUUAGCAUGCCAUCUUCUGACAAAACUAUAAUAAUAAUAAUAAUAAUAAUAAUAAUAAUAAUAAUAAUAAUAAUAAUAAUAAUAAUAAUAAUAAUAAUAAUAAUAAUAAUAAUAAUGAUAAGUACAAGAAUCGAAAUGUUAAAGAUUCUCUCAAGUAUGUCAAGGAGCAAGUACAAAACACUUACAACUGUUGGAAUGAAGGCAGUAAUAUUAAGUUCUCUAUAGCUCUCCACGUUUGGAGUCCCUUUGACUAUUGCAAACUGGAUGAUACCUUGUGCCAUCGCUAGUUCAUUGGUCCCGCCAACAAUUGCCCAAACUCCAUUUGGAGGAGUCAUCCCCAUAACUUGAAAUGUUGAACCAGUAAACCUAUUUCAUGAAUCACUUGGAAGUUAAACAAAAGGCGGCACUCAACAUUUUAAUAAUUGCAUCUGAGUUGAGUCAAAUUAGAACUAUAAUCAGUGUUAAAAAUACGAUAAGUAACAUAGAUAUUAUCCAGUGAUUUAGAACAAAUAUAUUACGUACCGUCCCUGCUGGAAUAUCAUACUGAAAUGGGAGAAAUCUCCAGCAUUGACCUGGUCAGCCUGGACAUGGGUUCCUUUGGCACGACCAAUAAUUUUGGCGUCCGGUGCAGGUGCAUCAAGUAGAGUAUAAUCAAAAGCAACCGUCCUACCAAACUCUAUAGGGGGAGUAGACUUAAACACAACUUCUUGGUUGUGGGUUGGUCCGGACACCACCUGGUGCAAAUACAUCUGCAUUUUUAUCUCACUUUCACAAUGAGUGGGACAUGCAAAGAAGGGAUGGGCUAUUGAAAGCAUCAGAAUGGAGACAAAGAGGGAGGCUAGGGCAAGUCUAGGGUCAGCCAUUGCUAGGAUUGUUGGCUCCCAAAGAGAAGACCACUAUACUUGAAUCUGUGUUUCUCUU
rnacentral:lncRNA from 1 species